rnacentral:rRNA from 1 species
GAUGAACGCUGGCGGCGUGCCUAAUACAUGCAAGUCGUACGAAGGAGCUUGCUCCUUAGUGGCGAACGGGUGAGUAAUACAUAAAUAAUCUGCCCCAACGACUGGGGAUAACUAUUGGAAACGAUAGCUAAUACCGGAUAGGUGAUUGGAAGACAUCUUCUGAUCAUUAAAGGUGCGUUCGCACCACCUUGGGGAUGAGUUUAUGGCGCAUUAGUUAGUUGGCGGGGUAACGGCCCACCAAGACGAUGAUGCGUAGCCUAUCUGAGAGGAUGACCGGCCACACUGGGACUGAGACACGGCCCAGACUCCUACGGGGAGGCAG